UACGUAGGGUGCAAGCGUUGUCCGGAAUUAUUGGGCGUAAAGAGCUCGUAGGCGGUUUGUUGCGUCGGCUGUGAAAUCCCGAGGCUCAACCUCGGGUCUGCAGUCGAUACGAGCAAACUAGAGUGUUGCAGGGGAGACUGGAAUUCCUGGUGUAGCGGUGAAAUGCGUAGAUAUUGGGAGGAACACCAGUGGCGAAGGCGGCUCACUGGACUGGUACUGACGCUGAGGCGCGAAAGCGUGGGGAGCAAACAGG
rnacentral:rRNA from 1 species